rnacentral:rRNA from 1 species
GAUCAACGCUGGCGGCGUGCCUAAUGCAUGCAAGUCGGACGGGCGAGUCGUUGUGAGUCGUCACGUGGCGGACGGGUGCGUAGCACGUGGGCAACCUGCCCUGGGGCGGGGAUAGCCGGGGGAAACCGCGGGCAAUUCCGCAUACGUUCAGGGGUCGAUGAAGGACCGCUGAAGAAAGGGACCGUACGCGGUCUCACCCCAGGAGGGGCCUGCGGCCGAUUAGCUAGUUGGGGGUAC